CCCUUAGAUGUUCUGGGCUGCACGCGUGCUACAAUGGCGUUUCCAGCAAGUCUGCGAACCCGAGAGGGCCAGCGGAUCUUCGAAUUGGCGUCGUGAUCGGGACAGUCGAUUGCAAUUAUUUGACUCAAACGAGGAAUUCCUUGUAAUCGCGAUUCAUCAUAUCGCGCUGAAUACGUCCCUGCCCUUUGUACACACCGCCCGUCGCUCCUACCGAUUGAGCGAUCCGGUAAAUGUUUUGGAUUGGUGCCGGGGCGGCUAGCUGCCGGUCGCUACGAAAUUUUGUGAACCUUAUCGCUUAGAGGAGGGAAAAGUCGUAACA
rnacentral:rRNA from 1 species